ensembl:lncRNA
CACGAUGCUAACAGGCAGCAUUCUUCUUGGUCUUCCUCUUCCCACUAUUCAUUUACUUAAAAGAAAGGCAGGGGAAUACAUUGAGAUAAAAAUAAAAAUAAAAAAGAAAAGAAAAGAAAAAAACCUGAAGGUGAAAUAUAAGAAGAGUGCUGUGCUUCACCAUUCUCAAAGCAAUUUGUUAGCAUGAUUAGUUCGCAUAGACAUGCAAAGAGUUCUGAAAAAUUCACGAGGAGAGCGUUAUCUACCUAUGUUUGAAGUAAUUCCCAACAGAUAUCUACACUCUGAAAUGGAGCCUACUGAAUCUGUGCCAAAACGAAGAAGACAGAUGUAUUGAUAUCACUACUUAAGUCAGCCAAAAGAUUUUGGUUGACUGCAGGGUACAGGUGUGAGAAUGAAGACACUGCAUAUCUGCCAGUCUGCCUCCUCUCCAUGAUUAAUGGCCUUGCACUUUCUGCUGCCUCUUGCAACUCAUACCUCAUAACUCCCGAGGGAAGGCAAGUAGAGACUUGAUGUGGGACUCUCCUCAGACUGUGUGAACUCCAUGACCUGCUGAUCUGGUAUUAAGAAGUUAAAAUCUACAUAUGCACCCAUACAUAUAUACAGCUCAGUAGAGAUAUAUUGCUUGGCAAAAAAAAAAAAAAAAAAAAAAGGAAAAAAAAAAGCAACAAGCAUUGUUUUGUGAAAGAAAAAAAAAGAAAAAGAAAAAAGCUUGCAAUAAUUUCUAGCAAGAAAAGCAAAAUUAUCUCUUCACAGCCACUGGUUUUGAGUGGCUGAAAUAUAUUGAGAUGGUAGCUAAUGAUCAUAUUGCCACAAAGGUGCCCAAUCUAGAAUGUUCUGGGGGAAACCUGAUGAGAUGGAAGGAGUCCUUCUGCCUUAGCCAAUUGUUCUCAACAGCUGGGGUGUGCAGCAGCAACAGCAAAAAGGAGGGGGAAGAGUCUGAGUGCCCUGCAGGCUGGACAGCAGUACUAGCAAGUUAGUCACCCAGUCACUGCAACAGGAACCACAGGACAGAAUUAGAGACCUUUUUUUAAGUUAACACAUUUCCUCUGCUAUGGGUGUUUUUUGUGUUUGGAUAGGUUUUUGUUUGUUUGUUUGUUUCAGAAAGACAAUCUGGCUUACUUCUCCAUUUCAAAAUACAGGUUGAAAGAAAAGGUAAGAGCAGCAACUUCACUCACUUCCCACAAUAACCUAGUAAAUCAAAAAGCAGGAUGGCCUAGGACUUUAUGAAGGCACCAAGACAAAUGCUACUGCACUACUUUCAGCCCCAAGCUGCUUUGCACAGAGCAGGUGGAAAUUCUGCACUGUACACUGAGUGAGCUAGUAGCACCCAAGGUGUGACAUGGGUCAUAGUUCCUCUGUGAUCUGAGCUGUGAGUGUGCUGUAACACAUAUGCUUACAUAGAGACUUCAUGAAGAUAAAAAGACAUAACUUGUUCUGGGUUUCAUAGUUAACGUACAUAACUUCAGCACAGCCAUUAGUUCUAAUCUGUACUGUACAUUCAAGUAUGUUUCAAAAGUAAGAUUGGCCCACGUACUGAAAUAUCUGUGUUAUUGAUCACUGUCCUUGUGCGGUUGCUUAGAAACACUGAGCUGAAGAAUCGAAAUGUUCAUUCACUGAUUCAUUAAGAGAUUUUGGCAGUCUUUCAUAUCAGUUGUUUCUGAUCAUGAAGGCAUGUCCUUGAAAUGACAUCAUAGCAGAGCUUAGGAGAAUAAUUAAAUUUCAGACUUUUUCUGAUAGCUGCAGGCUACCAUCUCAGGUUGCUUUCCAGGCUACUUUAAUUUGAAACUGGAAGCAUAUUCUGAGGUGCCACUUCAAGGUAAAAAGCUGAAACUACUUUUUAGUUUAGCCUUUUCUAUUCUUUGGUCCAUUGCAAAUGUCACCUCUUUAUUUUGGGGUGAUAUUAUAUAUUUUCCCAACCUCUGCUUCAAAACCAGGAGACAACAGUCAAUAACUACUCCGUAUCUCCAGAAUUUAUCUGACGGAAUGAUUGGAAGAAAUCUAUGGACCUUAAAGACGAAGAGAAUUUCCGUUCCUGCAUGUUAUCUACAGAUAGAAGUUAAAUCCCUGUGAGAUCACCGGACAAAGCUCCCACUGACUUCAAAGAUUGGUAAAUGCCAAAAGUUCAUAUGCUGUUUCCAGACAUUCACCGUAACAGACCCUACAUGUAUAUUCACAUGUAAAGAAUGCUAACACUGAAACCUCUGGGAAGAGAAAUACACCCCUGGUGCUGUGAUCCCGCCCUUCUUGUUACUCCUAGCAGUAGGUACCUUACUACCUCCCAGGAGACAUAAGCUCCUAAACACUUCUAGAGAGACAAGUGGAGCUUUGGAAACCGAUUCCAACAGACUACAAGCAUGGAUCUCAGGGUUUUGAUCAGGCCUGUUUGUAAAGUGUUGUUUCAAGCGUUGCUGUCCUUCAGCUGAAGAACAUUACAGCAAAGAGGGUGGAGUUACACUCACUCAGGGGGUAGAGCUCCUUCAGUCUCCUUAAUUCAUUGUCCUUUCCUAUAAAUUUUGCUGGUAGUAUCAAUGGUAACAUUCACAACUAGAAGAGACCAUCAGCUAUUUGUUCCUUUUAUUCUAUUCAAAGUAAACUGAAAAUCUGGCAGCUGUAUAUAGUCACUUCCUUACCUUUUUGCCCCUUACUCAGAACUGGCUCAGCGGUUGCAAGAGUAAGAAACAUAGCACUGCCCAGAAAGGUACAAGUAAGAGAGUUUUAAAAAAGCCUCAGGCCAAAGUCAUUACAUUUCACUGAAUGUACUGGGAUUGUGGAGUGUAACAGAGCAGCAACUAGGUCGCUAGGAGGUGGAACAACUACUUCUCUUAGAGAAAGGCAACUCUUUACCAUGCAGUUGUUGCUUAGUGCCUAUGCCUUAGUGAAACACUCAGGUCUCUCAAAAAAUCCUCAAGGGUAAAAUGUAUGCUGCUAUGGAGUAUGAUGCUUACAAUGAUGAUUUAUUAGUAGUGCAUCUGUUUUUUUCUUUAUAAGACUCAGAACCCAAGAGGACAGUUUCAGAUUAUUCCAAAUCCCACUAUUUCAAUGCUAAUUACUAAAAAUGCAGGAGCAACGCACUCCCUCUGCUUGGACCAUCUGGCAAAUUUCUCAGCUUUGCAGUUUGCUGGUCUUCAGAGUUACCCCACAAGUUAUAGGAAAAAAAAUAUUUCUGAACUCUCUAAGAGUAACAUUAUUAGUUAACAUGUUUGAAAGAACAGAAUAGAAAUGCAGAGGUUCUGAUAACAAAGGUUGAGGUUUCAGAUUAAUGGCAAAAUAAUUACGAAGUCUAGAGAAUGGAAGGACGAGUUUGAUAAAAAUAAACAUAUUUUUUUCUACAUGUGGCUGGUAUUUCUGUCUCCUGAUGUUUUUUUCUGAGGUGAACUUCUGUAAAAUAAUAAAAUGCAAUGAGUUUGAUACAUUUUGAUGAGGCACUGUAAGGUAACAAAUUAGGCUCUUAAAGCGUGCAAGAAAAUGGAGAAUUCUAGUGAAAUUGUAUCAGAC